rnacentral:rRNA from 1 species
GACGAACGCUGGCGGCGUGCUUAACACAUGCAAGUCGAACGGAAAGGCCCUGCUUUUGUGGGGUGCUCGAGUGGCGAACGGGUGAGUAACACGUGAGUAACCUGCCCUUGACUUUGGGAUAACUUCAGGAAACUGGGGCUAAUACCGGAUAGGAGCUCCUGCUGCAUGGUGGGGGUUGGAAAGCUUCGGCGGUUGGGGAUGGAUUCGCGGCUUAUCAGCUUGUUGGUGGGGUAGUGGCUUACCAAGGCCUUGACGGGUAGCCGGCCUGAGAGGGUGACCGGCCACAUUGGGACUGAGAUAAGGCCCAGACUCCUAAGGGAGGCAGCAGUGGGGAAUAUUGCACAAUGGGCGGAAGCCUGAUGCAGCAACGCCGCGUGCGGGAUGACGGCCUUCGGGUUGUAAACCGCUUUCGCCUGUGACGAAGCGUGAGUGACGGUAAUGGGUAAAGAAGCACCGGCUAACUACGUG